CCCGGCGGGACGGGACGGGGACCCCCCGCACCACCCGGCCCGCCCCGCCCCGGCUGAGGGCUAUGUGCGAGGUUUGUGCGAGACCUUCCCAAGGGUUCCCCCGCGGGCGGGUCCCCAGGCAGGGAAGGGGGUUCCCUGUGCUGGUCGCUGGCGUGACCUGAGGGGCACCGUCGGUAUAGGCGCAAGGCAGUGAACACCAGAGUGGAGCAAAAUCAGCAACAGGCCCUUGGCUUUUGCGUUUUUAUGCGAUGAGCAGGUAACUGUAGGUCUGCUGCAAUAACAGAGUGAUAAGAUGACACUUGAAUAGAUUCAUGAGACCCUUGGGAGUGUGACCUGUCAGACAACUCUGCCCAAGUCCAAGAUCACCUAUGUUUUUGUCAUUCUUUGACAGAAAACUGUUGAAACUCUUUCUGGAUAUUGCAUGAUGGCUACAGCCCAGUCCCUUUGUCCAGAGCUGUGGUGGUGCCACAUUGCACCAGUCACCACCGAAGGAUCCACUUCCCCAGGGAUGGAUCCUGGUCCCUGUGCCGUAUCAGCCAGCAGGUACGAUGCUGCUGUUUGCAGAGGAAGAACACCAGCUGCAGCAAGAGUAGUGUCUGUUCUAGAGUGAGGAACGAGCUCCACUGCAGAUGAGUUGGCUUCCCUGGCUGCAGUGCUCAGUAUUUCAUUUUAGCAAGUCUGAGAUUGGGCCGAGUCUUCGUCUCCUCCUGCGCUUUAUGCUGGUGCAAGUACCAGGUUGUAUGUUACUGAAGAGAGAGAAGGAGGAAAUGCAAUUCGGGGUUUUUAUUUUGUGCUCACAAAGUUCGCUCAGACAGACACACCCGGAGUGAAAGUGUGCUGCACUCACCUGGGAGAUCUUGUGUUGUGAAUUCUGGCUCUCCUGUGCUUUCCUGCUUUGCCCGUGCAGGUGGUAAGAGAGUUCAGAACAGGGGCACCCUGUUACCUCAGCUGCAAAAGGUUCUGAGAAUCAAAUGGCCAGGAGAGUGGAAUUUAAAUUUAUGUUGCUUUGUCUUGUGUUUCAGCGAGCAUUUGAAAGAUUCACCAGUUUAUCUUUGUCAGAGAUGGUUUUUCUUUGGGCUUAGCUUGGACACCAAUCUCCCUGUUGAGUUUACAUUUAAGGAGUAGGACCCAAGUUUUCCUCCAUGUGUUCAGUAUUAUGAUUUUGACUUUUCAAGUUUUGUUGCUUGGAAUAGGUGCAAUAGUCAUCUCUGCAUGUACAGCAACAACACAACUGGGGUUUGGAUGCUGCUACUUAGUCAAUUGAGAAGGAACAGAAGUAGUUUUGAAGGCUGCCUCUCCUGGCUGACAGGCUGAAGAGUUGGUAAAAGCUGCAAAGACAACUGAGCAUCUUAAUGAUGGUAUUUAUUAUGCAUUUUAUUUCGUAGGUGAAUUUUGAGGAAUAGUUUUUAAAGUGUAGUUAUUCUCUUCUCCUUUAGCAGACCAUCUGUGACCAUAGCUGCUUUUUUCCAAAAUGCCUGGUUUACUUGCUGUUGUUGCCACCAGUUCUCACUCCUCGUAGUAAUGUCCACAAGGUGGUGCCACAGCUAAGAAGUUUGCAACAAAUAAGCCAAAAGUAAUUUGAUAAUUCUGUCUGCUUUUUGUAACUGACUAAAACAGCUGCAUCAUGAAAGAGUUAAUAAUUAUUUCAUAAGCCAAAUAUCACAGGUUUGCGAGCUCUUUUUUAAAACCACUUGUGUGAGCAGAGGUGAGUCUGUCUGCUGAGUGAGGGCAACAUCCACAUGCCUGUGACUAUCCCAAAUCCUGCCCAAAAAGGACAAGGCAGCUCAGGGUUUAGCAGCCAGGCUGAUGAGGAGCUGUGUAUUUCCACUGGCAUGUGUCUUCGAUUUUUGUCUGGGUCACUUCAGCAGGGAUCAGCCUGAAAUCCUGACAAGCAGAAUAGUUCAUCCACAACUUCAGCCAAGACAGCUUCCACUUACCCUGGAGUGGCUAUGGCACAUCAAACCCUAAUUUCCUGAGUUUUUUUCUAGAGCCAGGGAUAGCCAGGCUCCCUGUCCUGUGCUAAUCUACAGUUCACUGUUAACUCCUAAGGGGUGUGAAGUGCUUACAGAGGGACCUGCCCAGAUGCUCAAGUUUACGAGCACCUUUCUAGAAAAGAUCAGACUAGAGAAAGGACAAGGCAGUAGCAGGGAUGUAAACUGUCAAGUGUACUGUCCAGUACAGAAAAGACAAGGAAACUUCCAGGAAAAAGUUGUUUGCAUGGAUCUGGAUGACUGCACUGACUUGUGUGUCCCAGAAGAGCUGAAGUGCAGCAGGAUUUGGCCAUUCCUCUCAGAAGGUGUGUGUGUGUUCCUCAGCUACCCUUGGCCACGUGGUGCUUCUUGCACCCCUGCCCUGCUCCCCUCUGUGACCUCUGCAAUCCAGGUAUGCAUGCUAGCACAAGAAAUACCUCCUGUCAGCUUCUGCAGUGGGCAAAUUAAGUUUGAAUCAUUUAUUCAUCACACACUUUUGUACCAAAAGCAGCAAAAAAAAGGGGAUGCUUUAAAAUACCAUUCUGACAAGCAGUGCAUUGACUUGCCUCGAGCUAGAAUCUCUCUUUGGUAGGCCUGCGUCAGAAAGAGAAAAAUAACAGGGUUUGCAUAAUAUGUUUCCUCUGAAUUGCUACAUUAUUAUUUUCAAACGUACUGAAAUUCUGGCUUGUAAGAGACAAGAUGGAAAUUAGGUAUACCCAGGAAAGAUGGUUUGUCCCCCAGUUAUAAAGCAGAAUGAGAGUUAGCAGCUUAUUGAGUCCAAUUCUAAAAGUUGUCAAAUAACUCAAUGGCCACCUAUUUCUUUUAAGGAUCAUAUCUAUAAAUUAUAUUUUAAAGUGGUUUGCAGUAUUUUGAAACUUUGUGUUGGUUUCAACACCUGUUUGGAAAAGUCAUUAUCUAAUCUGAGAACUAACUAAAAAUAUGAAGUCAUGAACAGGUCAUGUAGAUUUAAUUUCUGAGUCAGUCUGUUGAGUUAGCUUGAACCAACUGAAUCAUGACAAUGACAUUGUCAGAGUAUUCCUGAGUGAUUGUUCUGAGUGUAUGACUGCAGUAUGUCUUGGAAUUAAAUUGACACGUUUCUGGUUUAGUUUGGAUUUUGCUUUUUCUUUCACUUUGCAAAACUGCUUUCAAAAAUGUUUAUUUUUUCAGAUAUUUUGCACAUAGAAAAAACAAUGCUCUCUUCUAAAGGGAGGAAAUGAGUAUCUAAGAUCAUCCAUCUAAGUCUCCACAGUGUGAAAACCUCAGAUAUGCAUUAUUUUAGUGAUUUAGCAACCGAAUUGAAAUCCUGAACGCUCUCCCUUGCAAUAUUUGCAACAAUUUUGUGCUUUUAUUGGAAAUCCCUGUGGACUGUAAUCCAAGGUCAGGAAGGAGACAAUGCAUUGCCAUCUGAAACACAAGAAAGAUCAAAAUAAGUUUUCAGUGUGCCACCAAAACCACAGUGCUAGGUUUCUGUUAAGGAGAAUGAGUAAUACCAUUCUAGCUCUGAAGGUUGCUGUGAGUGGGUAAUAAUUCCAUCUAACCGAUAGGGCAGAUUAUGUAUUCUGCAAGAAACAAAAUAAUCCCAGGUAAAAUCUUGCCCUAUUUCUCAGCUCAAUAAGAAAGCCCACCCACCGUACCCACUUAGAAGUUGCUGUAUGCAUACUUGUCUAAGUUUAGGACUGAGGAGCAGGUCUGUUCUCCAUCCUACAUCCCCAAACCAGCCUUGCUCAGGCACACAUUGCCUCCAGCCUUGGUGUGGAAGGAGGAAUGUGUUCCUGCUGCUGCUCCCAGGAUGUGGGAUGUGGGUUGACCCUCAGCUCUGCAGCUGCAGACAGUUUGUGUCAAGUUCCCUCUCGGAGCCUCUCUCCCUGUGGAGGGUUCAGACCUUUCUGUGCACCCAGGGAAAUGACUGAUCAAGCCAGGGCUCACCCAAGUUCCCUCCUGGAGAGGGAUGCAAUAACCAUUUCAAAUUUUGUGUCCACAGACAACACAAAUUGACAGAACACAGGUAACAUAUUUUGCAUGUUGUACCUAUUUCUUACUUUGUCUUGCCAGGAAAAAUAGAUUAAAAUUGGUAUUAAGUUUCCUUCUUGUUCCUCCAAUAAUAGAAAAUUACCAGGGAAGAGAAAAUACAACAGAGAAUUUGUUGUCUAGAAAGUCCUUCCAGCUUUUUUUUUUUUUUUUUUUAAUAUUAUGAAACAUUCUUGCCUGCCUUAAUAGAUGAGAAAAGUAACAGUAGAACUGUGAAACAAAUUAAUACAUCAAAAAAUACCGAUCCCUGGACUAUAGCUAAAUCUAUAUUGGUAUUUGUAAUAGUGUUGCAGAUCAAUAAUACAAUGCUAUACUGAUGCUAUACUGCAUACAUUGAUUUGUUGAAAUGAUGGUUAUGGGUGAGGUUCUAAACAGACACUGCAACGUAUAAUAAAGGACUGACUUACUAACAGACUUAAUAAUAAAACAGAUCUAAUAAAAACAUCUAAUAAGAUGUGACAAGCACAUACAUAAAGUAACCCAAAGACUAAUGAUUUGUUUCACAGUUUUAUGAAAAACUUUUUAUUGUUUUCUGUGUAU